AUUGAACGCUGGCGGCAGGCCUAACACAUGCAAGUCGAACGCGUGGCGGGCGGGUGAGUAAUGCGUGGGAAUCCAGCUUAGGGGGGGGGAUAACUUCGGGAAACUGUCGCAUAUACCGCGUCCCAUAGGAUGAGCACAAGUGGGAUUAGGUAGUUGGUGGGGUAAUGUCUCACCAAGGCGACGCUCCCUAGCUGGUCUGAGAGGAGGAUCAGCCACACUGGGACGGAGACACGGCCCAGACUCCUACGGGAGGCAGCAGUGGGGAAUAUUGCACAAGGGGCGCAAGCCUGAUGCAGCCAUGCCGCGUGUAUGAAGAAGGCCCUAGGGUUGUAAAGUACUUUCAGUCGGGAGGCGUUACCGACAGAAGAAGCACCGGCUAACUCCGUGCCAGCAGCCGCGGUAAUAC
rnacentral:rRNA from 1 species